AAUAUUGCACAAUGGGCGCAAGCCUGAUGCAGCCAUGCCGCGUGUAUGAAGAAGGCCUUCGGGUUGUAAAGUACUUUCAGCAGUGAGGAAGGUGGGUAUGUUAAUAGCAUACUCAUUUGACGUUAGCUGCAGAAGAAGCACCGGCUAACUCCGUGCCAGCAGCCGCGGUAAUACGGAGGGUGCGAGCGUUAAUCGGAAUUACUGGGCGUAAAGCGCAUGCAGGUGGUUUGUUAAGUCAGAUGUGAAAGCCCGGGGCUCAACCUCGGAAUUGCAUUUGAAACUGGCAAAACUAGAGUACUGUAGAGGGGGUAGAAUUUCAGGUGUAGCGGUGAAAUGCGUAGAGAUCUGAAGGAAUACCGGUGGCGAAGGCGGCCCCCUGGACAGAUACUGACACUCAGAUGCGAAAGCGUGGGGAGCAAACAGGAUUAGAUACCCUGGUAG
rnacentral:rRNA from 1 species